AUUCCCACGGCUGCACUGAGAGAACCCAUCUUCCGUGGACUGGAAAUUCCUGGAGAGCUGCGUUUGUGAACAGCUGGCAGUAAUUUCCUAAGUCCCAUCUCUUCAUUUUCCUUUGUGUUGCAUUUUGGAACAUCCAGAAACC
rfam:Myotis davidii contig106341, whole genome shotgun sequence.